rnacentral:rRNA from 1 species
GUUGAACGCUGGCGGCAUGCUUUACACAUGCAAGUCGAGCGGCAGCGCGGGGGCAACCCUGGCGGCGAGCGGCGAACGGGUGAGUAAUGCAUCGGAACGUGUCCUCUUGUGGGGGAUAACCAGUCGAAAGACUGGCUAAUACCGCAUGAGCUCGAGAGAGGAAAGCAGGGGACCGCAAGGCUUUGCGCGAGAGGAGCGGCCGAUGCCGGAUUAGCUAGUUGGUGGGGUAACGGCCCACCAAGGCGACGAUCCGUAGCUGGUCUGAGAGGACGACCAGCCACACGGGGACUGAGACACGGCCAGACUCCUACGGGAGGCAGCAGUGGGGAAUUUUGGACAAUGGGGGCAACCCUGAUCCAGCCAUGCCGCGUGUGUGAAGAAGGCCUUCGGGUUGUAAAGCACUUUCGGCCGGAACGAAAUCGCGUGGAUUAACACCCUGCGUGGAUGACGGUACCGGAAGAAGAAGCACCGGCUAACUACGUGCCAGCCGCCGCCGUAA